ACACCGAUGGUGAAGCGGUUAUCAUGCUUGCCUUCCACUGAUGUUUCAUAUGACGUGAAAUUACGUAAGCAAGCGGCAGGGGUUCGACUCCCCUUCGGUGUA